CUUUGGUUGUCAACAAUUGUUGAAAUUAAUCAAUAGCCCCUGCUUGAUCCCCAUUUUUGGGAUCAAAUGUAUUAUAAAAUAGUGAUUUUUUUUAGAGAAAGUGUGGUUAGAAAGUAAGGAAUUUUUUUUUUAAAUACGUGUAUAAUUAUUUUAUGAGAAAAUGUGGUUGAAAAUGAUAUUUGAAAAAAUAUAUUCCUGAAAAAAUGAGGCUCAAACAGGGGCAUAUAUACUAUAAUAUAAUCACCAACUAUGGUUCUAUCCUUCUUGGCAAACUCCGUAGAAGGGGAAAUGGAAGACUCCAGCAUCUAAAUUUUCUCUUGCUUUAACCAUCAUGCAUUAUGCUUCUAUAGUAUUGUCUUGCAUUUGAUGUGAUAGAAUUAGUUAUAUUUCAUUUUGAUAAUGAGAAGCUCCAUAAGAAGAAGGCAAAGGAGGCCAAGAAAUUGGGCAUAAAGAAGAAACCUAAGGUAGAGAAAGACCCUCGAAAUCACAAAUAAUGUGCCCUUCAAGGAACAUGAACUUAAAGACCUCGAGGCUCGCUGCCAAUAAGACAUCGAGGAGCAAGAUGAGAAAAAAGCCGCUCAAAAUGAUACGGUAUAUGAAUAUCAUCCUAAUUUGUUUGAGCCAUUUGGUCGGUUCCUUAAUUGUAAUAAUUAGCUGUUGCUAGAUUUUGAUUUCUUGUAAUUUUACCUAUAGUUUAUGUAGGAAAUUUACUAAUCAAACUUUUUCAUCCGGGUUUUAAAGCUUCUUAAGAAAAAUAGAGACGUGCUCUUUAGUGAGACCUUUUUAGGGAGUGAAAAUUAGUUUUUUUUUUUUACCCUUCCAUGAACUAUCAUUUUACAGUAUAUCACUAUGUAUUACCUCUUAAGUGGGAUAUUAAUUUGACAAAUUAUGAAAGAAGUUUUGUGUUGGUUUGUAGGUUGACUUAACUAUAAUGGUUAAAACUGUAUGGACGUUGAAAGAGGCAUCUGCUUGGCAUUGACAAUGAAAAUGCUCCCAUUAGGGAUGCAUUGGCCACUUCUUUAGUAGAAGUAAUUCACAUCUUUUUUGCGCUUUAAUGUUCUAUUAUCUACAGUCAAAUCUACAUGUCUUUCUAUGACUGAGUGUUUUUAUGCAGAUUUGGUUUUAUGAUUGUCAUAUGCCAAGGGAAAUGUUUAAUUAAUGAAAAGGUAUACUGCCAUUUUCACGUUCUUUUUGCCUUGUGGAACACAAACUGCACAAUGUUAUACAAAUCAUUCUACUUGUCAACUCAUAAGGUUUAUUUAUUAGAGUUUUCAAGACUUUUAACAUAUGAAAGAUAUGUUACUUGUUAGCUGAGACAAAUUCAUAAAUUUACCGAAAUGAACUUUUCAAUGUAAAGCGAUCUGCAAGCACACUUUGAUUGUUUUUACAUGAUGAGGUUCAUGUGGAAGAAUAGACGCUUGCAUACAUGGAACUCUUUGAUUGUCAACAUUCGAAAAAAUUGGCAUAAAUUUCGCAUAUGGUGUCCGUUUUGGGCCCAUAACCCCAUUUUGGAAAGCUCGCGAUGAUUCUAAAUGAACUCACCACUUUUUUAUGAUGUA
rnacentral:lncRNA from 1 species